rnacentral:rRNA from 1 species
UACGUAGGUGGCAAGCGUUGUCCGGAUUUACUGGGCGUAAAGAGCGCGCAGGCGGUCGUUCAAGUCGCGUGUGAAAGCCCUCGGCUCAACUGGGGAGGGUCACGCGAUACUGAUCGACUCGAAGGCAGGAGAGGGUAGUGGAAUUCCCGGUGUAGUGGUGAAAUGCGUAGAUAUCGGGAGGAACACCAGUGGCGAAGGCGACUACCUGGGCUGUUUCUUGACGCUGAUGCACGAAAGCUGGGGGAGCAAACAGG